UUCAUUUCUGAGUGAGUKAGCGUCAGCAGCACGCUGCGCUUGGGCAUUACGUCCUUACACAUUACAUACUUACCAGGCGGAAGAAAAAGUAGUUCCCAUUAACAACGUUUCAUUUAGGCAAGAUCUCAAUAAUUUAGUUACUUUUUAACGUACUCUAGUUAAUCUACAUUAUCUCAAAUUACUAAAGUGUUGAAAGUAUUGAUCCUUGGAUCUGACAAUAGAUUUUAAAGAAUUAAGUUCUGGUAUCGGAAGAAUCGAUAUUUCAGUAUCAAUCCGCACAUCACUAACGGCAACGCCAGAGAUCAUUUAACUGCCCUGAUUAACGGUUAAUUCAGUUGUAACAGCCUAACUAAGCUUUUAUCUACUGUACUUUUAUAAGAUUUUCUUUUGGCAAAUUCUCUAAUCUCGGUUGGACAUGAAUGAAGAUGGAGGACUUUUUUACGUGUAUAGACCCUACAGCUGCUGUACUGAGAGUAAACCAAACUGUUGCCAUGGUGAAGCCUAUGCCAGACACAUCUCCAAUCACGUAUUGCACCAUCUACAAGAAACUUUGGGAAUUGCAAGUGACGGCAUCCUUCACAUUCUUGAGCAGAUGACCCAACAACUUCAAACAAGACCACUUUUCAGCUCUGUGGUGAUCGUGAAACCAACUUUCUACUGGCCAUUGGAACCAUGCCUGCCCUGAUCUUCUGAAAGGAGGACAUCACAGCUACUACACCUUUCAGCAUCCGUGUGUCUGUGGCCACUCCUCUCUGUGCUGCUGACAGACGUCUUGAGAACGCCGUCCGUAACUGAGGCAAGACUUCCACAUAUAAAAGGCUAUGGCUUACUGGAAGAAGUUCAUUGCGGGGGAAGCUCCUAUUGUUGACAUCUAAUCCCAAGAUUUUUUUUUUGCUUUGGACAAUUUGGUUUGCUUGACUCUUAGUGCAGCAGAUGUGUCAGAUCGUCAUUGUUCUGUCAUUUUACAGGAUUGUUUCAGAAUCAGAUGCCCAUCCAGACUUAAAAUUCUGACCAGUAGUCAUGUUUUAUUGUGUUUAUGUGAAACUUAAACGUAAUAAAGAUGUUAAAAGUAAUUGAACUCAUGUCUUCAUUUCAGCAAGCCAAUAACAUCUCUUGUUCCAGUAUUCACAGGAUCAAUUUUGGGAUUUUUGUCUUAGCAUAAGAACCUUGAGUAAAGCUGUGACAAAAUAUAUAUUUUAAUCCUAUGCAACAAUAAAAAUAAACUAGAUUUAGGUAUAUCACUGCAAAAAGUCCCC